CAGCCGCCACGGGAAUACAGAGGGUGCGAGCGUUAAUCGGAUUUACUGGGCGUAAAGCGUGCGUAGGCGGCUUUUUAAGUCGGAUGUGAAAGCCCUGGGCUCAACCUGGGAAUUGCAGUGGAUACUGGGUCACUAGAGUGUGGUAGAGGAUAGUGGAAUUUCCGGUGUAGCAGUGAAAUGCGUAGAGAUCGGAAGGAACAUCUGUGGCGAAGGCGACUAUCUGGGCCAACACUGACACUGAGGCACGAAAGCGUGGGGAGCAAACAGGAUUAGAUACCCCUGUAGUCCCUGUCUCUUAUAA
rnacentral:rRNA from 1 species